UUUAAAGUAUGAAUAUGUUCCAUGCAAUAUUUGGGACAUACUUAUACUAAAG
rfam:Myotis lucifugus cont2.30837, whole genome shotgun sequence.